CCGGUAAACGGCGGCCGUAACUAUAACGGUCCUAAGGUAGCGAAAUUCCUUGUCGGGUAAGUUCCGACCUGCACGAAUGGCGUAAUGAUGGCCAGGCUGUCUCCACCCGAGACUCAGUGAAAUUGAACUCGCUGUGAAGAUGCAGUGUACCCGCGGCAAGACGGAAAGACCCCGUGAACCUUUACUAUAGCUUGACACUGAACAUUGAGCCUUGAUGUGUAGGAUAGGUGGGAGGCUUUGAAGUGUGGACGCCAGUCUGCAUGGAGCCGACCUUGAAAUACCACCCUUUAAUGUUUGAUGUUCUAACGUGGACCCGUAAUCCGGGUUGCGGACAGUGUCUGGUGGGUAGUUUGACUGGGGCGGUCUCCUCCUAAAGAGUAACGGAGGAGCACGAAGGUUGGCUAAUCCUGGUCGGACAUCAGGAGGUUAGUGCAAUGGCAUAAGCCAGCUUGACUGCGAGCGUGACGGCGCGAGCAGGUGCGAAAGCAGGUCAUAGUGAUCCGGUGGUUCUGAAUGGAAGGGCCAUCGCUCAACGGAUAAAAGGUACUCCGGGGAUAACAGGCUGAUACCGCCCAAGAGUUCAUAUCGACGGCGGUGUUUGGCACCUCGAUGUCGGCUCAUCACAUCCUGGGGCUGAAGUAGGUCCCAAGGGUAUGGCUGUUCGCCAUUUAAAGUGGUACGCGAGCUGGGUUUAGAACGUCGUGAGACAGUUCGGUCCCUAUCUGCCGUGGGCGCUGGAGAACUGAGGGGGGCUGCUCCUAGUACGAGAGGACCGGAGUGGACGCAUCACUGGUGUUCGGGUUGUCAUGCCAAUGGCACUGCCCGGUAGCUAAAUGCGGAAGAGAUAAGUGCUGAAAGCAUCUAAGCACGAAACUUGCC
rnacentral:rRNA from 1 species